CGUCGCGGAGAGGACAAUCCGAGAAAAGGGGAACGAGACAGAGAAAGGAGCAUGGCCCCUGCGCAAGAAUGCCCGCAUAAAUCGAAAGGGUUCAAAUGGUGUU